AUAUAGAUUAUAAGGUAUAUCAGAUGGGGCAUAUAUAGAUUAUAGGGUACAUCAGUUGGGCCAUAUAUAGAUUAUAAGGUAUAUCAGAUGGGGCAUAUAUAGAUUAUAAGGUAUAUCAGAUGGGGCAUAUAUAGAUUAUAAGGUAUAUCAGAUGGGGCAUAUAUAGAUUAUAAGGUACAUCAGAUGGGGCAUAUAUAGAUUAUAGGGUAUAUCAGGUGGGGCAUAUAUAGAUUAUAGGGUAUAUCAGAUGGGGCAUAUAUAGAUUAUAAGGUAUAUCAGAUGGGCCAUAUAUAGAUUAUAAGGUAUAUCAGAUGGGGCAUAUAUAGAUCAUAGGGUAUAUCAGAUGGGCCAUAUAUAGAUUAUAAGGUAUAUCAGAUGGGGCAUAUAUAGAUUAUAGGGUACAUCAGAUGAGCCAUAUAUAGAUUAUAAGGUAUAUCAGAUGGGGCAUAUAUAGAUUAUAGGGUACAUCAGAUGAGCCAUAUAUAGAUUAUAAGGUAUAUCAGAUGGGCCAUAUAUAGAUUAUAAGGUAUAUCAGAUGGGGCAUAUAUAGAUUAUAGGGUACAUCAGAUGAGCCAUAUAUAGAUUAUAAGGUAUAUCAGAUGGGGCAUA